UUCAGAGUAGGUACUUUCUCCAACUGAGGUUCACCUGUUUGGACUACAGGACUGCUGAAGCAAAGGCAGUAUUACCUGUCAAUACAGAUGGAAUCGUAUUGGACUUCCAAGAUGGCUUGCUGUGUAACUGUUCAACAAUGAGCUGAGUGAAACACUCAAGAAAAGGAAUUAUUAACUGCAACUACAUGACAAUCUUCCUCUGUAUAAUAUCAACUAUACAUGGUCAAUAUCCUUGGCAGGGUCAUCAAAACAAUCCUUCAGGACAUGAAUGGAAGCAGCAGAAGUUUUUGAAACACCAUCUCAGAUACAGAACUAUAGGAACAUCUACAGGCAUUUAAUAAACGGAUUUUUGCUGUGGGCUUUUUUCUUCAUUCAUGGAAGAUGCACAAAUCAGAUAGUUGCAACUUAAGUUGUUCAGAAGUGGUGCUCUAGGGGUAUCUAACAAACAUCAGUGGAUUACCUGCUAUACUAACUGAAUAAAAGUAUACGAUAAUUCAAAAUUAACACUGAGUCAGGCUUUAGAAGCUUUUGUCUAGCACUGGAAUGUCUCUUUUAGCUACAUGUAAUAAAAAGGGAUAGUCUUUAUCUGAUAUGCAACUUUUUUAAAACUUAUUAAGUAGCUGGAAUAAGUUUCUAUUCAGACGCCAAAGCUCUGCCACCACCCUGUGAAACCCAGUUGGCUAUGUUUCUGUGGAGAAAGUGGGAGAUAUUUGUUGCUGUAUAUAGACUUCAAACUUUCUGUGAUAGUAUCCUGCUUGAAUGAAUAGCAUUAAGUCUGAGAAAGUGCAAAAAGAAGCUAAAUAAUGCUAUAGGUAAUGCUCUUAAGACAAAAAAAAUAAAAGAUCCAAUAGGAUUACUAUUUGAAAUGGAGCUAUAUAUUUGGUUCACUCUCAGCUAGAGUGGUUUAUUUAUUCCUAGCUUAUUUUUGGGGAAAAUAAGGAAUAUGCUAAACUAAUAGUUUCCAAAACUUGAAAUGAGGGAUUUCUUUGGGAAGCAGCUUCUUACACAUUGCCAGUGUGUAUUGACAGAAAUUCAAGACUCACGGAUAACAACAGACCAACCUGCUUCCUCCAGAGUAAGUGGGCAGCUAACUGGGCAGGUAUGGGAAGAGCAAUUAGAAUUUAGGUCAACAAUAUGUUUAUUAAUCUUUAUUGAUUUUUUUCAUCCUUUUUUUCUGUGAGCUUUGCAACUGUAGAUGGAAGAAUAAAGCUUUGAAGGUGAUGUUUGAAUUA